GAUGAACGCUGGCGGCGUGCCUAAUACAUGCAAGUCGAGCGAACAGACGAGGAGCUUGCUCCUCUGACGUUAGCGGCGGACGGGUGAGUAACACGUGGAUAACCUACCUAUAAGACUGGGAUAACUUCGGGAAGCCGGAGCUAAUACCGGAUAAUAUAUUGAACCGCAUGGUUCAAUAGUGAAAGACGGUUUUGCUGUCACUUAUAGAUGGAUCCGCGCCGCAUUAGCUAGUUGGUAAGGUAACGGCUUACCAAGGCAACGAUGCGUAGCCGACCUGAGAGGGUGAUCGGCCACACGAGAGCUGAAACGCGGUCCAGACUCCUACGGGAGGCAGCAGUAGGGAAUCUUCCGCAAUGGGCGAAAGCCUGACGGAGCAACGCCGCGUGAGUGAUGAAGGUCUUCGGAUCGGAAAACUCUGUUAUUAGGGAAGAACAAAUGUGUAAGUAACUAUGCACGUCUUGACGGUACCUAAUCAGAAAGCCACGGCUAACUACGUG
rnacentral:rRNA from 1 species